UACGUAGGGGGCUAGCGUUGUCCGGAAUCAUUGGGCGUAAAGAGCGUGUAGGCGGUCCGGUAAGUCCGCUGUGAAAGUCGGGGGCUCAACCCUCGAAUGCCGGUGGAUACUGUCGGGCUAGAGUGCGGAAGAGGCGAGUGGAAUUCCUGGUGUAGCGGUGAAAUGCGCAGAUAUCAGGAGGAACACCUAUUGCGAAGGCAGCUCGCUGGGACGUUACUGACGCUGAGACGCGAAAGCCAGGGGAGCAAACGGG
rnacentral:rRNA from 1 species